rnacentral:rRNA from 1 species
AGAGUUUGAUCAUGGCUCAGGAUGAACGCUGGCGGCGUGGAUAAGGCAUGCAAGUCGAACGGACUUUAUUUUUCUGGAGAAUGAGAUUACAUCAAGUUCAAAGGUCGUUUAAAGUUAGUGGCAGACGAGGUAGUAAUACAUAGGAAUGUACCCUUUAGUCGUGAACAACUCAUCGAAAGAUGGGCUAAUACACGAUAGUCUCUCCGGAGUAAAGUUUUUCGCUAAAGGAACAGCCUAUGGAGCAUCAGCUAGUUGGUAAGGUAAUGGCUUACCAAGGCUAUGACGCUUAGGGGAGGUGAGAGCCUGACCCCCACCGAUGGGACUGAGACACGGCCCAUACACCUACGGGUGGCUGCAGUCAAGAACCUUCCACAAUGGACGAAAGUCUGAUGGAGCGACGCCGCGUGGUUGAUGAAGUGGUUCGCCAUGUAAAAACCUUUUAUGGGGGAAGAAGUUUAUUGACGGUACCCCAUGAAUAAGAGGCUCCUAAUCUCGUGCCAGCAGGAGCGGUAAUACGAGAGCCUCGAGCGUUAUCCGGAAUUAUUGGGCGUAAAGUGUGCGUAGGCGGUUAUGUUAGUCAUUCUUCAAAUCUAUCGGCUCAACCGGUAACAGGGGAGUGAAACGGCAUGACUAGAGGCUGUAAGGGGUAUAUGGAACUCAUGGUGUAGGGGUGAAAUCCGUUGAUAUCAUGGGGAACACCAAAAGCGAAGGCAAUAUACUGGUACAGAUCUGACGCUGAGGCACGAAAGCGUGGGUAGCGAAUGGGAUUAGAUACCCCAGUAGUCC